AAAAAUUAGGAUACCCCCCGGGUAGUCCACGCCGUAAAACCGGACCUGAGUAGCUAGCCGUUAGGGCAGACUUGGACUAGGUUCAGUGGCGCAGCUAACGCUUUAAGCAUCCCGCCUGGGGAGUACGGUCGCAAGAUUAAAACUCAAAGGUAAUUGGACGGGGGCCCGCACAAGCGGUGGAGCAUGUGGUUUAAUUCGAAGCAACGCGCAGAACCUUACCAGCCCUUGACAUGUCGCGUAUGGAUGCCAGAGAUGGCUUCCUUCAGUUCGGCUGGCGCGAACACAGGUGCUGCAUGGCUGUUCGUCAGCUCGUGUCGUUGAGACUGUUGGGUUAACGUCCCGCAACGUAGCGCAACCCGUCGACCCGUACGU
rnacentral:rRNA from 1 species